AGUCACAGCUUUAAAUGCCUUGACCUGGACUAAGUCACUUCCUCAUUCUGGGUCCCAUCAGAGCACCCAGAAGAUGGCACGUGGAUUUGGUUAGACGUGGGGUCAGCCCUCAGGACUGUUUGGGCUGGAAGCAGGUGUUCUACAGCCAAGAAAACAAGAAAUAACAUUGAAAUUCUCAGUGUUAUUCUGUCACAUUAAAUACUCAGUAACUCAUCUUGCUAUAUUUGCAAAAACAUACUCGUCUCAAGAAUCAGAACUCUUUUUUCCCCAUAAGAGAAUGUGGCAACAUAAGGAGAAACAUGGAUUCAAACUGCUUUUGAUUUCUCAGAAAAUUGUUAAUGGAUAGUUUAUAAUGUAGUAUUAUAACAUAAACAUUACAUACUAUAUUUGGAGGUAUAGGUCAUAUAUUAUGCCACAACAAAAUAAGUUUCAAUAGUUUUAAAAUAUAGAUAUGAUGCAAAGUAUCUUUUCUGUCCAUAAUGGGAUAAAGUAGAAAUAAAAAACAAAAGUUAAAAAAAUAUAUAUUUUGUGGAAAUUAUGCAAUAUACUUUUAACCAACUAAUGGAUCAAAAAAAGGCAAAAGGAAAAAAUACUUAGAGACUAGUGAAGCAAAAAAACAACUUAUGAGACACAGUGAAAAUGGUGCUGGGAAAAAUUUAUAGCUAUAAACAUUUAUCUUAAAAAACAAGAAAAAAAUCUCAAACAAACUUUACAACCUAUAAAACUCAGAAAAGAACUAAACCCAAAGCUACCAAAAGGAAAGACAUAAUAAAAUUACAAAAGAGAAAGGUAAAAUAGAGAAUAGUAAAGGCAAUAGAGAAAAUAAAUGAAACCAGAGGUUGGUUCUUAGAAAAGCUAAAAAAAAAAAAAAAUGACAAACUAUAUGGCUCAA